CUAUCGGUGCAUGACAGUACAGAUAUAGGCAGGGUGAAUUCGUAUCGUUCGAGCAGCGGGGUGGGCGUUGUAUACUGUAAACGGCCAACAGCUCUUUUUGCAAUAGCGUUAUUUCGAAUUAAUAUGAAUUGGUCUAUACAUUUUUUAAUUAUUCUUUAGACAACGAGAAAUGCGGAAGAUUCUAAGCACACGUGUAUCAGCCUCUUUAAUGGCAAAACACUAACGUUGUAAAAACAAAAAGAAUAAAACUCUAUUUAUAGUAAUUGCAUAUAAAAACAUACAUAAAAGUUUAAGGAAAUAAAGCACACGGCUGGUCCACUAACACUGUAAUAAAUAAAUUAAGGAAUAAAAUAUAAAAAGUUUAAAGAAUAAAAGAGUUUAACUGUCAUUCAAAGUAAUACAAGAAAUUGUGUCAAAAGCAAAUUUUUAAAAACGGGGGAUAGCACGUAUGAUGGUAAAGACGGACCGCUAGCGCCUCCCUGAGGACGAAUGUAUCCACAGCGCGUAAACCCCCCACAGCUGGGGAGGGCGUCCGUCCCCCCCCAAAGUUUGCCUUUAUUAAGCGGGGGCAAAUGAACGGGCGAAAUACACCUGACAUCUGAAAGCUUGAAGCAACAACGAAGACCAAAGCGGCGAUGGAAACGCUAAACUGGAGGUAGGCCUAUGCUACGUUUUCAUUUAAAUGUAUUUUAUAAUUGCUGUUAUAGAUUUUUCUACUGUGAAAACAUUACGAUUACUUCUGACCAAGAAUUUCCCACGCUGUCAAGUCCGAGUAAGGCCCAUGUAACAGAGGAAUGGGAUAGUGAUAGCGGCAAUGAACUGCUAUGCACGCCAAUGGUUAUUUUCAGAGAUAAUCGUCAAGGAACAGUUAGCCAUAAGCGGAAAAGAGCGGAUAGUUUUAAUGACAUGACUGAUGAUGAACUGCUGGUCGCUGCGGCUGAAAAAAUUGAAGCAGAGCUAGCUACCUCAACCGGACAACUGGAAUUUAUGUGACCGGGGACUCCCACUACACAAAGCGGGGCGCCGGACCAAGGGGAAUCGACAAGCGGUGUUCCAGCAUCAUCGCCCCGUGCCUUACCGGAAUCACCGCAGGGGCCACAAGAUUGGGAUACUGACCCCUUAACACCUUGGCAAUUACCUGUUUUGAUUUCCCGGACUGUAGAUGAUUCCCGAGAGGAGCGUUUGAAGGCGCUCAAACUAGCU